GUCGCUUUAGCCAAGUGGUUACGGCGCGGCCCUGCUAUCAAGCAGUUCAGGCCGUCCCUUCGGGGGCGUAGGUUCGAAUCCUGCAGGCGACG